GCUAGUUAACCCAUUCAGAGCCAGCAUUUCCCCUUGACAUUCAAGUACAAUUGUCUGGAGUUAGACAGAGUAAAAUAGUCUGGCAUUAGACAAAGUUAAAAUAGUUAGACAGAGCAAAAUAAUAAAGUAGGACGCAUCAUAUGGCAUUGCAUUGAGGUAGAACGAUUAAUUUGGCACAAUAGGUGAAAACUAUAAUUGAUUUGUAAUGUUUAGUAUAACCAAUUUCUCAUAUUAAUUUUUAUAUUUGCAAUAUUAAUUAGUAUUUAUUAAUAUUUAUAUCUAUUUUUUGCAUUAAAAAAUUA